UGAACCUGAAGAAGCUCCCUUUGGUUACUGAGAGAGACUUUUCCAUUUCCCUUUUAUUUGGAAUUAGAUGUUUGUGAAAAGAAAUAUGGAAGGAGUGUGCCCAGAA
rnacentral:lncRNA from 1 species